rnacentral:lncRNA from 1 species
CCAAAACUAACAUCUUAAAUUAAUUUCCUAAUUAAAUAAUUUUCUCAGCCCAAUUUUGAUUCCGUUAAAAUAUGACGACUUUACCGUAAAAGAAUUUAUGAUAAAAUAUAUUUAAUAUUUCUACAUUCAACGGAUUCACCAUAACCAAUAAAUUUAUUUCCAUUUCCGAACUUGAAUUAUUUAAUAACUUAAUUAGAUAAUAAUUCGAAAAACCAUAAAUUCACUUUUCAGGUCAUUUUCAUUUAGAGAAAACCACAUUCAUUUCCAAAUGUUUCUCAUUACUCUAACUUUACCAUUUUCAUCCAUUUAUGUUCAUUUGAUUCAACAUGCAAUUCAUUUCUGGUUUCAACAAGCUAGUUGAGGGACCGAUUGGACAUAUGCGAUUAGGGCUCAAACAAUUUAUAAUUAAGUUCUAACUUUUCGUCUAUUAAUUAUAAACUCAUUUAGUCACAAAGUUGUAAUAUCCAAUUUUGGCCCAAACCAAUAAAACCAAAAUAAACCCACCAAAUAAUUCAAAAGUCCAAACUUCAAGUCCAUUUACAACAUGUGUAGCCCAAAAUUAAAACCAGACCCAUUACACAUCAAUUAACCCAAACCCACUACCUAGAUUUUAGCCCAAAUCAAAACCCCAUUAGCCCAUUACCUAAACUAACCCUAAUAGCCCACUUGCUUAAAAUUUUCAGCAAACCCUAGCCACCAAGUUUUCAGCCGCCACUCCCCCUCAGCCUUGGCCAUCACGCGCGCCACCACCAUCGCUCAGGGCAUCAACCAUCGGCCUUCCAUACGUCUGACACCUGCAAGACGAAACUAACACGCAAAAUACAAGAAAAAAAGAAGAAAAAAACAAAAAUAAUAGCAGACAACAAGCAAAAAAAAAAAACAAAAAAUGAAUCUAUGUAAUUUGGUUAUAAAAGCCGAAACAUCCCUUUGUAGUUUUUUUUACGAACACUAGCAAUCGAAAAGCAAGAAUACAAAAAAAAGGUUGAUUUCGAUUUCUAUUUUCGUGUUACAAAAAAAAGGUUGAUUUCGAUUUCUAUUUUCGUGUCUUUUCGUUUUAUACUUUUAUUUUUUUAUGUAAAUCUACUCUAAACGAAAAUAAAAAGAAGAAACUUACCGGAUUUAUCUCGUGGCCGCAUUGUCGGAGUUCUCAUCUCCGCCGCCGUGGUCGUUUCCUAAAAGGGAAGAGAGGGACUUUUUCCUUUUUAUUUUCGGAGUUUUGAGAACGUGGCCUUUCAGGUUCACCUGGAAUGGGACUAAAGAGUCCCUUUCGCGCAACUCCAGCCUUUGGCCCCGACGGCAGCACGGGGGACUGCUGAGGGUUCCUUCGGUCGGAGACAGAGGAGAGGGAGAGAGAGUUUAAAAGUUUUUUUUUUAGUUGAAGACUAAAAUGAAAUUUUAAAAA